CAUCUGUAUUUGGAAUUAGGUUUGUACAGAGGAUUUGUUUGAGUAAGUCAGAUGAGAGAAAGAGAGAUCAGAGUUUAGCUUACGCAAUACCUCGAGGGAUGAAAAUGUUCUUUAGCCUUGUGGUCCGUGUUUGUGUGUGUCUAUGUGGCUUCCAGAUGGCAGGGAAGAAAACAGGCUGUAGCUGCGGUGGAUGGAAUCCCUGAUGAUCUGGAGAGCUCUUUGCCGGCAGCGAUGGUUGUUCAGGUCUUCGAUGGCCGGUAGCCGAGUUCAGUGACGCGCUGGGCAGUUUUGACUACCCGCUGAAGGGCUUUCCGGUCUGAGGAUGUGCAGCUGUCAUAGCAGACUGUGAUGCAGCAGAGAAAACGCAGGACAGGCCUACCUGAAGAUGGAGUCGAUGUGUCUCGGACGUCAUGUCUCCUGUCAGACGUGUAAGCUGAGAGACAGGAAUGGCAUGGCCGGUGAAGCCCCAGUGAGCAGGAGGGGUCAUCCUUCAGCUCAAAGACAGGCUGAGAGACAGCCACAUGGCACACAUCUCCAAAUGACAGCCUGUCACUGGCAGGAGAUCCACCAUACGGCCCUGUCACCUCUCACCUGACUGAACUCGGCCCACUGUAUUCUGGCGCUGAGGGGAAGCUGCGUCACUGUCAAACUAAUGGUGGUUAAAGAUUUGGUCAGUUAUCCGGAUGUGUGACCAUACUGGCCAUACUCAGAUGUAAACAACAGCAUGGAUUGCACGGUGCUGCCAUCCCCAGCGCAUUCACCUCACCAUAGCUCUCUUCAAAACAGAUUUGCGGGUCUAUCCGAGACAAAUAACUGGAGUUGGAGAAGGUGAGCCAUGCUGUUUUGACACACUGUUAGAACAUGAUGUUACAGAGUCAGACACCUGACUUGGGAAAAAGGUCAUCUGUUCAUCAUAGAUCAAAGUGGAGGACAGCACCUCUCAAAACAGUGGCGGAAAGCGGGCAGGAGGAGAUAAAAUGAAAUCUUCACAACAGGACUGAUGGACAUGUGGCUCAAAUACACCCUCCUGUGAGCUGUAGGGAGGGUGGGUGUCCUGCUGGCAGAUGUCCCUUCUAGUUUCAGAUGCCGCUUGACAAGAUUGCUCUGAGGUGAGGAAGACCAAAGCGUUCUGAGUAAUGAGACAGUUGCUUUCUUAAUGUUUGCUCUGACAUCGUUGCACAAGCACAAAAACGAGAAGACAUGUUUGACUAGUUCUGGCCUUUUUUGUAAGUAACAGUAACAGUGGGCAAAUAACAUUUGCUGCAUUUUAAAAUGUACAACAAUCAUUACAUUUCAUGGAAACUAACCGAUUUCGAUUGACUAUACAGUAUUUUCUUCUGCUCCUUUGCAACGGUGUUGUGUUUAGCACAACAUAUCCGUUUGCUCCUGACCUCAAUCAACAAACCCUCUCCAUCCCAUUCGGUGAGGACCAAUACAAGGAUGUCACUGGCAGACCUUGCCUUGCAUUUGAUUUAUGUUGCUCUAAAAGUAAAAAUCAAAGAUCCUCUCUAAUGCAGCUCUGUGGCAGUGGGAUGAUAUAUGAUGCAGCCGAGCAGUUAAAUGAGAGCACUAUGUCUCUGCCUGCGUUUUAAUGGCACGGUCAGAACUCUGACCCCACAUCUGAAUGACUUUACAGUACUUAAAAAGACAUCCUCAGACAGUGCUGAUUUGUAAAAGAAAGUCCUCGGGGCAAGCUUGUUUUGGCCAUGCAGUUUUGAUUACCCAGGAGACUGUUCGCAGGAAAUACAACAGAGACAUGCACAACAAACUUUUUAUAUUAGGUUUUCAGUGGAAUUUCACAUUGAGUGGCUUAGCAAAACAUUGAGAAAGAAAUGAACAUUUUAAUUACUGUAGCAAAUUCUAUUUCAUUGCUCAUUGUUUGUUUUUGCAAAGUCUGUUACUGUUUAACACAUUAAAAUAUUCAAAAGGCAGUUAUGACUCAGAUUUGUCUUUUCGUUUUUUUUCCCUUUCAAAAGCUGAAAGAAAUGUGUGAUGAAAAACAUUAUUACGUAUGGAAUAAAACAGAUAAUUAUGUAUUAUUUAUGCAAAGCAUGAAUAUAGUAGUAUUUAG